AUACUAACCUGGCAGGGGAGACACCAUGAUCACGAAGGUGGUUUUCCCAGAGCGAGGCUUAUCCAUUGCACUCUGGAUGUGCUGACCCCUUCAGUUUCCAAAAAUGUGGAAAACUCAACUGCAUAAUUUAUGGUAGUGGGGGACUACAUUCGUGCUCUCCUG
rnacentral:snRNA from 1 species